rnacentral:rRNA from 1 species
AUUGAACGCUGGCGGCAGGCCUAACACAUGCAAGUCGAACGAGUGGCGGACGGGUGAGUAAUGUCUGGGAAACUGCCCGAUGGAGGGGGAUAACUACUGGAAACGGUAGCUAAUACCGCAUACCAUCGGAUGUGCCCCGAUGGGAUUAGCUAGUUGGUGGGGUAACGGCUCACCUAGGCGACGAUCCCUAGCUGGUCUGAGAGGAUGACCAGCCAAACGGGAACUGAGACCCGGUCCAGACUCCUACGGGAGGCAGCAGUGGGGAAUAUUGCACAAUGGGCGCAAGCCUGAUGCAGCCAUGCCGCGUGUAUGAAGAAGGCCUUCGGGUUGUAAAGUACUUUCAGCGGGGAGGCGGGAAACGAAGAAGAAGCACCGGCUAACUCCGUGCCAGCAGCCGCGGUAAUAA